ACCAACUAGAAAAUUGCCAGAAAAGAAGAAAAUAGAAACCUGCACCAUGCCCUUUAAGAUACGCCGGUCGUAGAUAAGAGGGUAGCGAGACGGCUACUGCUACCAUGUGACACGUUGACAAAGGAUCGCCCGCGACUGAUAAAAAACGACGGUGUUACCCUUUACGUUUUAUUUGAUGACGACCGAUUAAAAAUGUAAUUAAAAAUGUAGUUACCCCUUAUGUUUUUUUUCAUGACGACUGAUAUAAAACUAGUGUUACCCUUAAUUUUUAAUGACGAUUGAAUAAAAACCAGUGUUACCCCUUGUUUUUUUUAAUGACGACCAAUAGAAAACUAAUGUGACCCUUAUGUUUAAUGACGAUUGAUAAGAAACGACAGCAUUACCCCUUAUGAUUUAUUUGACGGAGAAAUUACAAUGUUCCCCCUCUGGUUUUCUGUGAAAAACACCCCUUAGGUUUUUUUGACGGCGACAGAUAAAAGACGACAGUGUUAUCUCGUAUGUUUUUAUCAUGACUACUGAUAAAGCUGAUAUGCUCGGGGACACCUCGACACUCUAGCUAUGUGUUGCCAGGGAUCGAAACAGCAACCUCCGGUCACCAGUCAACCAACUCUACCCCCUGAACAUAGCCGACCUCAUCUCGUUUAGUGAGCAGCACCCCCCAAAAUUGUCCCUCUGCUGCACAAACCAACAAAAAACACCACACAAUAAAUAUAUAAUCAGAACUUCAUUCAAAUCUCCGGAUCGGAGAUUAACAUCCUCUUUAUUAUUUUGUAUUUUUUUCAUGUCAGUCAUUUUGUGUUUAUUGAAUGCAGUUUUUUUUUUUUCCACAUGCUUUACAGUGACGGCUCAUGCAGCGUGCUCCAUGUGUUCACAGACCUUGGGGAGGGGGGGUGAUGGCGACUCAACCGCAAGGCGUACCAGCCGGCGGCUCGUAGGCCUACUCAAGAUGUCUCCGAACUCCGUCAGCCCCCCCUACCGUCUUGUAGUCUUGCCAUUGAGAUGCUUAGCUUAGCUUUGUCCCCGGCUAACUCUUUAGCAAAUGUUUCAGACCUGGAGCUUCACUUACAACAUAACAAAAAUAUCAGAUUAUUCCGGUAGCCUACAUCUCUUUACCUUUCAGCGUGAUUAAAGUAUCGAUUGUAAGCAAAAGAGGCCCUAUUCCGAUGAGGGGUGUGGCGGGGACCCAAAUACUCUGAUAUUUGUACCAAAAAAGCCUACACGUUCCAGGUGGGGAUCAAUCCUGAGAUAAGCAUAGAAAUGACAAGAAACGCCCUCCCAGCCACCUAUAUCUCCAACCCAAGUCAUUCACCCCAGCUUAAGUGGAAGUCCAACUGAUUAAAACUGUUCUACCUCGUUGCUGCUUAAAACGCAGUAGGGCUGCCCUACCCUUGCAAACCCGUGACCAACAAACAUGACCAACACACACACACACACACACACACACACACACACACACACACACACACACACACACACACACACACACACACACACACACACACACACACACACACACACACACACACACACACACACACAUUUGUUCACGCAACAUCAUCCCCAAGACAACAAAGAGAAGACAUUCAAAAUAGCUUCAGGAUCGAUAUAUCGUGAGAUUUACGUUGAUUUACAUCAAAAGGAAACAGAAGGUUACAUCUUAUUAAUUAUGUACAGGUGGAGGUCAAAUUAUUUUGAGAAAUAUUUGAGGCUGGAGGGUCAGUUUAGACUUUCAACAGGUGUAAAAUGAAACGUUUAUAUAAAAGGGUAACGUUUAAAGAGGAACGCAGAUCAUUAGAGAAAUAUCGACUUAAACGAAGCUUUAACAAAAAAACUUCACUCAGGUGAAGAGACGGUGCUACGGAAAACACAGUUUUCAGAAUUUUGUGAUAGGCCUAUUAUUCUCGAGCGUUUUAGUCCGGGGCCCGAAUAAGUGAACGAUAACAAAAAAAACACACAACACUUCACCAACACGCAAUCACUCACAAAUAACAGAUAUAUACAUUAAAACACAACCGCUGUUCCGAAAUCCCAACGCAAACUGAGAGAUUUUGUGCGGAUAUUAAAAAUGAUUGGAAUGUG
ensembl:lncRNA